rnacentral:rRNA from 1 species
CCUACGGGCGGCAGCAGUGAGGAAUAUUGGUCAAUGGCCGGAAGCCUGAACCAGCCAUGCCGCGUGAAGGUCAGUGCCCUAUGGGCGUUAAACUUCUUUUGUGCGGGAGCAAUAAUGGUCACGUGUGGCCAGACGAGAGUACCGUACGAAUAAGCAUCGGCUAACUGCUGGCCAGCAGCCGCGGUAAUUCGGGGGGUGCAAGCGUUAUCCAGGGUUAUCUGGUUUAAAGGGUGCGUAGGCUGUGAGUUAAGUCAGCGGUGAAAUGCCCCGGCCCAACGGGGUGAAGUGCCAUUGAUACUGCAUUGCUGGAGUGCGGAUGCGGUGGGAGGAAUGUGUGGUGUAGCGGUGAAAUGCAUAGAUAUUA